rnacentral:rRNA from 1 species
UCCGUAGGUGGUCGUUUAAGUCUGUUGUGAAAGCCCUGGGCUCAACCUGGGAACUGCAGUGGAAACUGGACGACUAGAGUGUGGUAGAGGGUAGCGGAAUUCCUGGUGUAGCAGUGAAAUGCGUAGAGAUCAGGAGGAACAUCCAUGGCGAAGGCAGCUACCUGGACCAACAUUGACACUGAGGCACGAAAGCGUGGGGAGCAAACA